rnacentral:rRNA from 1 species
CGUAGGGUGCUAGCGUUAUCCGGAAUCACUGGGCGUAAAGCGUGCGUAGGCGGCUUGUUAAGUGAGGUGUUAAACCGUGUGGCUCAACCAUAUCGUUGCAUCUCAUACUGGCAGGCUAGAGGACGGCAGAGGCAAGUGGAAUUGGUAGUGUAGCAGUGAAAUGCGUAGAUAUUACCAGGAACACCAAUGGCGAAGGCAGCUUGCUGGGCCGACCCUGACGCUGAGGUACGAAAGCGUGGGGAGCGAACAGGAUUAGAUACCCUGGUAGUCCACGCCGUAAACGAUGCAUACUAGACGUAUGGGGUAUCGACCCCCUGUGCGUCGCAGCUAACGCGAUAAGUAUGCCGCCUGGGAAGUACGGCCGCAAGGCUA